rnacentral:lncRNA from 1 species
GGAGGCUCCAAGCACUGACCUUUCAGGAAAUGAUGAAGAUGUGAAGAUGGAAGAGGCCCCUGCUGCUCAGGGACAGCUAAACACUGAUGCAGCUUAUGGUGGUGAAAAUGCAAAACUUGGUGAAGCUGCCUUGGAGCUGCAGUUGCCACCUUCAUCUGGUGAGGCAAUAGUAGAGAUAUCUAGUGAGCCACUCAGCCAAGAGGCAAAGGAAGCUGCAAGCACUAACCCUCCAGGAAAUGAUGAAAAUGAGCUGCAAUUGCCACCUUCAUCUGGUGAGGCAAUGGUAGAGAUAUCUAGUGAGCCACUCAGCCAAGAGGCGAAGGAAGCUGCAAGCACUAACCCUCCAGGAAAUGAUGAAAAUGAGCUGCAAUUGCCACCUUCAUCUGGUGAGGCAAUGGUAGAGAUAUCUAGUGAGCCACUCAGCCAAGAGGCGAAGGAAGCUGCAAGCACUGGCCCUCCAGGAAAUAAUGAAAAUGCAAAGGUGCAAGAGGCUACUGUUGCUGCUCAGGUACUUCUGAGCACCGAACAUGCUCCUGAUGGUGAAACUUCAAGACUUGCUGGAGGUGAUACAGAACUGCAAUUGACACCAGCUGGUCAGGCUAUGGUAGACAUAUCUAGUGAGCCACCCAGCAGCCAAGAGGUAAAUGAGGCUCCAAUCAGUGACGCUUUGGGAAAUGAUGAAAAUAUAAAGACAGAAAAUACUGCUGAUGCUGAACCUGCCCCUGGUAGUGAAAAU